rnacentral:rRNA from 1 species
CGUAGGGUGCAAGCGUUAAUCGGAAUUACUGGGCGUAAAGCGUGCGCAGGCGGUAAUGUAAGACAGUUGUGAAAUCCCCGGGCUCAACCUGGGAACUGCAUCUGUGACUGCAUUGCUGGAGUACGGCAGAGGGGGAUGGAAUUCCGCGUGUAGCAGUGAAAUGCGCAGAUAUGCGGAGGAACACCGAUGGCGAAGGCAAUCCCCUGGGCCUGUACUGACGCUCAUGCACGAAAGCGUGGGGAGCAAACAGGAUUAGAUACCCUGGUAGUCCACGCCCUAAACGAUGUCAACUGGUUGUUGGGUCUUCACUGACUCAGUAACGAAGCUAACGCGUGAAGUUGACCGCCUGGGGAGUACGGCCGCAAGGUUG